AGCGUACACGGUGGAUGCCCUGGCAGUCAGAGGCGAUGAAGGACGUGCUAAUCUGCGAUAAGCGUCGGUAAGGUGAUAUGAACCGUUAUAACCGGCGAUUUCCGAAUGGGGAAACCCAGUGUGUUUCGACACACUAUCAUUAACUGAAUCCAUAGGUUAAUGAGGCGAACCGGGGGAACUGAAACAUCUAAGUACCCCGAGGAAAAGAAAUCAACCGAGAUUCCCCCAGUAGCGGCGAGCGAACGGGGAGCAGCCCAGAGCCUGAAUCAGUGUGUGUGUUAGUGGAAGCGUCUGGAAAGGCGCGCGAUACAGGGUGACAGCCCCGUACACAAAAAUACACAUAUUGUGAGCUCGAUGAGUAGGGCGGGACACGUGGUAUCCUGUCUGAAUAUGGGGGGACCAUCCUCCAAGGCUAAAUACUCCUGACUGACCGAUAGUGAACCAGUACCGUGAGGGAAAGGCGAAAAGAACCCCGGCGAGGGGAGUGAAAAAGAACCUGAAACCGUGUACGUACAAGCAGUGGGAGCACGCUUAGGCGUGUGACUGCGUACCUUUUGUAUAAUGGGUCAGCGACUUAUAUUCUGUAGCAAGGUUAACCGAAUAGGGGAGCCGAAGGGAAACCGAGUCUUAACUGGGCGUUAAGUUGCAGGGUAUAGACCCGAAACCCGGUGAUCUAGCCAUGGGCAGGUUGAAGGUUGGGUAACACUAACUGGAGGACCGAACCGACUAAUGUUGAAAAAUUAGCGGAUGACUUGUGGCUGGGGGUGAAAGGCCAAUCAAACCGGGAGAUAGCUGGUUCUCCCCGAAAGCUAUUUAGGUAGCGCCUCGUGAAUUCAUCUCCGGGGGUAGAGCACUGUUUCGGCAAGGGGGUCAUCCCGACUUACCAACCCGAUGCAAACUGCGAAUACCGGAGAAUGUUAUCACGGGAGACACACGGCGGGUGCUAACGUCCGUCGUGAAGAGGGAAACAACCCAGACCGCCAGCUAAGGUCCCAAAGUCAUGGUUAAGUGGGAAACGAUGUGGGAAGGCCCAGACAGCCAGGAUGUUGGCUUAGAAGCAGCCAUCAUUUAAAGAAAGCGUAAUAGCUCACUGGUCGAGUCGGCCUGCGCGGAAGAUGUAACGGGGCUAAACCAUGCACCGAAGCUGCGGCAGCGACACUAUGUGUUGUUGGGUAGGGGAGCGUUCUGUAAGCCUGCGAAGGUGUACUGUGAGGUAUGCUGGAGGUAUCAGAAGUGCGAAUGCUGACAUAAGUAACGAUAAAGCGGGUGAAAAGCCCGCUCGCCGGAAGACCAAGGGUUCCUGUCCAACGUUAAUCGGGGCAGGGUGAGUCGACCCCUAAGGCGAGGCCGAAAGGCGUAGUCGAUGGGAAACAGGUUAAUAUUCCUGUACUUGGUGUUACUGCGAAGGGGGGACGGAGAAGGCUAUGUUGGCCGGGCGACGGUUGUCCCGGUUUAAGCGUGUAGGCUGGUUUUCCAGGCAAAUCCGGAAAAUCAAGGCUGAGGCGUGAUGACGAGGCACUACGGUGCUGAAGCAACAAAUGCCCUGCUUCCAGGAAAAGCCUCUAAGCAUCAGGUAACAUCAAAUCGUACCCCAAACCGACACAGGUGGUCAGGUAGAGAAUACCAAGGCGCUUGAGAGAACUCGGGUGAAGGAACUAGGCAAAAUGGUGCCGUAACUUCGGGAGAAGGCACGCUGAUAUGUAGGUGAAGCGACUUGCUCGUGGAGCUGAAAUCAGUCGAAGAUACCAGCUGGCUGCAACUGUUUAUUAAAAACACAGCACUGUGCAAACACGAAAGUGGACGUAUACGGUGUGACGCCUGCCCGGUGCCGGAAGGUUAAUUGAUGGGGUCAGCGCAAGCGAAGCUCUUGAUCGAAGCCCCGGUAAACGGCGGCCGUAACUAUAACGGUCCUAAGGUAGCGAAAUUCCUUGUCGGGUAAGUUCCGACCUGCACGAAUGGCGUAAUGAUGGCCAGGCUGUCUCCACCCGAGACUCAGUGAAAUUGAACUCGCUGUGAAGAUGCAGUGUACCCGCGGCAAGACGGAAAGACCCCGUGAACCUUUACUAUAGCUUGACACUGAACAUUGAGCCUUGAUGUGUAGGAUAGGUGGGAGGCUUUGAAGUGUGGACGCCAGUCUGCAUGGAGCCGACCUUGAAAUACCACCCUUUAAUGUUUGAUGUUCUAACGUUGACCCGUAAUCCGGGUUGCGGACAGUGUCUGGUGGGUAGUUUGACUGGGGCGGUCUCCUCCUAAAGAGUAACGGAGGAGCACGAAGGUUGGCUAAUCCUGGUCGGACAUCAGGAGGUUAGUGCAAUGGCAUAAGCCAGCUUGACUGCGAGCGUGACGGCGCGAGCAGGUGCGAAAGCAGGUCAUAGUGAUCCGGUGGUUCUGAAUGGAAGGGCCAUCGCUCAACGGAUAAAAGGUACUCCGGGGAUAACAGGCUGAUACCGCCCAAGAGUUCAUAUCGACGGCGGUGUUUGGCACCUCGAUGUCGGCUCAUCACAUCCUGGGGCUGAAGUAGGUCCCAAGGGUAUGGCUGUUCGCCAUUUAAAGUGGUACGCGAGCUGGGUUUAGAACGUCGUGAGACAGUUCGGUCCCUAUCUGCCGUGGGCGCUGGAGAACUGAGGGGGGCUGCUCCUAGUACGAGAGGACCGGAGUGGACGCAUCACUGGUGUUCGGGUUGUCAUGCCAAUGGCACUGCCCGGUAGCUAAAUGCGGAAGAGAUAAGUGCUGAAAGCAUCUAAGCACGAAACUUGCCCCGAGAUGAGUUCU
rnacentral:rRNA from 1 species